UCAAGGCCUAAAAAGAGGUGGGCAAUUCCUCAUUUGAGCUCUCAUGGCGCCUCCCAAGAAAUCAAAGAAAAGCAAGAAAGAUAGGAAAUUGAAGAAAAACUUAAGCUUGUUGGUUCCAGUCGAGCCUAAAGCUGCAGACUCUGACUGGUGGGAUAGUUUCUUCAACCCAAGAUUCUUCACUAUCCAAUGAUGAGGAGGAAGGUUUUAAGUAUUUCUUUAGGGUCUCUAAGAAGAGUUUUGACUAUAUCUGUUCCCUUGUAAGAGAAGACCUUGCGUCGAGGCCGCCAUCGGGUCUCAUCAACGUAGAAGGAAGGUUUCUUAGUGUUGAGAAACAGGUUGCAAUCCCCCUAAGAAGGUUGGCAUCUGGUGAGUCUCAAGUAUCAGUGAGAGCUGCCUUUGGAGUCGGCCAGUCCACAGUUUCUGAGGUUGCAAUAUCUGUGAUCAGGGUACUUUUGUUUGUGGCAAGGCCAAGGACUUUUGUUCAUGGAAACCUUCCGAAUUCCAUGGUUUACAGAAAUGUUGAGCAGGAUGCUAAUGCAAGCAAUGUUCCUGGAAUUCUCAUACUUGAGAUUGAUGCUCCCAUACCAACUACUUAAGAGAAAGACACACAGGUUGGAGAGGACUUGAUGAAGGCAUCGUUGUAGUUGGGACUUGCAUGAUUUAAAAGCUACAAUGGCAGGUUGCAUGUCAACCACAUCCAAAACAAUUAAAUCAAGGAAAAAACACUGUCAGCGGGUCAUCAAACGCCAUAGAAAGGCAACCUGCUCCGCUUCACAUGGUACCAAGAAAAGAAAUACCAGUUUCAAGAAAAUAAAUAGUGAUGCAGGAGCUCGCGUGAGUGACUAUGCUGUCAGUGAGUUUGUUCAUGUGGACUUUGAGAAUGGUGCAACAACUACUCAUGCAGGGUUCUAACUACUUUGAGAUUGA